GACGUAGGGGGCUAGCGUUGUCCGGAAUCAUUGGGCGUAAAGAGCGUGUAGGCGGCUCGGUAAGUCCGCUGUGAAAGUCCAGGGCUCAACCCUGGAAUUGCCUUUAAGACUGCAUCGCUUGAACAUCGGAGAGGUAAGUGGAAUUCCGAGUGUAGAGGUGAAAUUCGUAGAUAUUCGGAAGAACACCAGUGGCGAAGGCGACUUACUGGACGAUUGUUGACGCUGAGGUGCGAAAGCGUGGGGAGCAAACAGG
rnacentral:rRNA from 1 species